rnacentral:rRNA from 1 species
UGGGGAAUUUUGGACAAUGGGGGCAACCCUGAUCCAGCCAUGCCGCGUGAGUGAAGAAGGCCUUCGGGUUGUAAAGCUCUUUCGGCGGGGACGAAACGGUCCGUGACAACACCACGGACUAAUGACAGUACUCGCAGAAGAAGCACCGGCUAACUACGUGCCAGCAGCCGCGGUAAUACGUAGGGUGCAGGCGUUAAUCGGAAUUACUGGGCGUAAAGCGUGCGCAGGCGGCUCCUUAAGUCAGAUGUGAAAUCCCCGGGCUUAACCUGGGAACUGCGUUUGAAACUGAGGGGCUAGAGUGUGGAAGAGGGGGGUGGAAUUCCAGGUGUAGCAGUGAAAUGCGUAGAGAUCUGGAGGAACACCGAUGGCGAAGGCAGCCCCCUGGGCUAACACUGACGCUCAUGCACGAAAGCGUGGGGAGCAAACAGGAUUAGAUACCCCAGUAGUCCCUGAGCGGGCUGGCAAGGCGCAU